rnacentral:rRNA from 1 species
UACGGGGGGGCAAGCGUUGUUCGGAAUUACUGGGCGUAAAGGGCUCGUAGGCGGCCAACUAAGUCAGACGUGAAAUCCCUCGGCUUAACCGGGGAACUGCGUCUGAUACUGGAUGGCUUGAGUUUGGGAGAGGGAUGCGGAAUUCCAGGUGUAGCGGUGAAAUGCGUAGAUAUCAGGAGGAACACCAAUGGCGAAGGCAGCUCGCUGGGACGGUACUGACGCUGAGGCGCGAAAGCGUGGGGAGCAAACAGG